rnacentral:rRNA from 1 species
GUGGGGAAUAUUGGACAAUGGGCGAAAGCCUGAUCCAGCCAUGCCGCGUGUGUGAAGAAGGUCUUCGGAUUGUAAAGCACUUUAAGUUGGGAGGAAGGGCAGUAAGUUAAUACCUUGCUGUUUUGACGUUACCAACAGAAUAAGCACCGGCUAACUUCGUGCCAGCAGCCGCGGUAAUACGAAGGGUGCAAGCGUUAAUCGGAAUUACUGGGCGUAAAGCGCGCGUAGGUGGUUUUGUAAGUUGGAGGUGAAAUCCCCGGGCUCAACCUGGGAACUGCCUCCAAAACUGCAUGACUAGAGUACGGUAGAGGGUAGUGGAAUUUCCUGUGUAGCGGUGAAAUGCGUAGAUAUAGGAAGGAACACCAGUGGCGAAGGCGACUACCUGGACUGAUACUGACACUGAGGUGCGAAAGCGUGGGGAGCAAACAGGAUUAGAUACCCCUGUAGUCC